rnacentral:rRNA from 1 species
UACCAGCACCCCGAGUGGUCGGGACGAUUAUUGGGCCUAAAGCAUCCGUAGCCGGUCUUGCAAGUCUUCCGUUAAAUCCACCUGCUUAACAGAUGGGCUGCGGAAGAUACUACAAGACUAGGAGGCGGGAGAGGCAAGCGGUACGUCAGUGGGUAGGGGUAAAAUCCUCUGAUCCAUUGAAGACCACCAGUGGCGAAGGCGGCUUGCCAGAACGCGCUCGACGGUGAAGGAUGAAAG